rnacentral:lncRNA from 1 species
GGCCCUGUUUAUAGACAUUGGAGAACAGAGUAUUCUCUGUAGCCAGUGUAGGAAUAAAUGUGAAUUUGUAUGUAUUGCUGAAAUGUGCAUUUUGCCAUCCAGUUGCAAUUCCUGUUUUUCUGAAAACAAACCUUAAAAAUCAAGAAAGGUGAAGGACAUUUACAUAUUUAAGCUGACGGCACCCCUAACAACAAGGCAGGAUUGUUUUGUUUAGGAAAGAAUUUAAAUGAAAGAACUCUCACUAUCAGUUCUUAAUGUGAUUUUGCAGACUUGGGUUUUUCAGAAACAAAACUUAAAUUCAACUAGAUAGUUUGGGCACACCAGGAAGCAGGUAAAAACUCUGGAAACUUGGGACCGGGGAGCAGCCACGGGGGAGAAGAAGCCCGGCAAAUAAAGGAAAGUGAAGAUGACGGAGACUCCGAGGGGCAGAGGAAGGCAAGGAAGUCCAGAAAUGGAGCAGUCAAGCCCCAGAGCGUCUGUCUGCAGGGGCUGAGGACAACUUUCAAGCAAGAGGGCCAGGAGCCCAAGGCUAGCAGAGUAUCAGAAGCGUCUGGCCACCCACAGGUCAGCAGCCAGCACUCUCUCUCCCUUGAUGACAGCAGCUGGCUCCAAAAAGGACCAUAGCUGUGGAAAGGAAACCUCUAAAUGUCUGAUAAAGGCACAAAUACAUGGCUCUUUCAAUGCAAAACCAACUAGUGCCUAAUAAAAGCAAACAGAUGCCUCUCCAGCCUGAAGAAAAUGACAAUUUCUUUGGAGGGCCUCAUCUUGAAUCCUUUCCUUUCCUUAAUGACCUAACGAGAGCCAUUCUGAUGAUUGUAAGAGCCAUGACUGACAUUCCACACCUGUGGCCUACCCAGAGUCCAAUUUGACAGUGAUCAUAAAUAAAAUCUUGUCGUACUAUUAUAGGAUGUUUGGCAAGGACAAGAAUUAAGGCACCUUUACAACUCCCUAAGGAAUCUGGUGAUAUUUCUAACAUGAUCUCACACAUUCUGUCCUGCCCGACCUUCCUUGUAUCACCUUCCUGAGUUAUAGCUUGUAUCCGUUACCCUCUCCUCCUUCCACAGCCUCUCCCCAAAAUAAAGAAUUGCUGACCUGAAGAAAACAAAUC